ACCGCCCGUCAAGUCAUGAAAGUGGGCAGCACCCGAAGACGGUGGCCUAACCCUUGUGGGGGGAGCCGUCUAAGGUGAGGCUCGUGAUUGGGACUAAGUCGUAACAAGGUACC
rnacentral:rRNA from 1 species